rnacentral:rRNA from 1 species
GACGAACGCUGGCGGCGUGCUUAACACAUGCAAGUCGAACGGAAAUGCCCUGCUUUUGUGGGGUGCUCGAGUGGCGAACGGGUGAGUAACACGUGAGUAACCUGCCCUUGACUUUGGGAUAACUUCAUGAAACUGGGGCUAAUACCGGAUAGGAGCUCCUGCUGCUUGGUGGGGGUUGGAAAGUUUCGGCGGUUGGGGAUGGACUCGCGGCUUAUCAGCUUGUUGGUGGGGUAGUGGCUUACCAAGGCUUUGACGGGUAGCCGGCCUGAGAGGGUGACCGGCCAAAUUGGGACUGAGAUACGGCCCAGACUACUACGGGAGGCAGCAGUGGGGAAUAUUGCACAAUGGGCGGAAGCCUGAUGCAGCAACGCCGCGUGCGGGAUGACGGCCUUCGGGUUGUAAACCGCUUUCGCCUGUGACGAAGCGUGAGUGACGGUAAUGGGUAAAGAAGCACCGGCUAACUACGUG